UGCGGCGUUCCUUUCAAAGAUGUGGUCUGCUUUGUUAGAACUGGCGGUGGCCUUGGUGUUGGCUGUGUUAAUCGAGGCGAUGGAUUGUGGGUAGGUUGUCAGUGCAGCAUCAUCGAUCAUGGACUUGUAGGAGCAAUGGUGGAGGGCGGCGACUUCCGAAUGAUGGUGCUCAAAUCCAAUGUCAGAGCAAAGCAAAUUUGCUCAGCAUGAAUGGGCUUCCUCUCUCAGUCAAGCUUGGGGAGCAGCUUAAGUUUCUUCCUGAUCAAAUGAAAGAUAUGUUCAACAUAAAAGGGGCAAGAACUUUCCACUUUGUGUGAAG